UGGGGAAUAUUGGACAAUGGGCGAAAGCCUGAUCCAGCCAUGCCGCGUGUGUGAAGAAGGUCUUCGGAUUGUAAAGCACUUUAAGUUGGGAGGAAGGGCAGUUACCUAAUACGUAUCUGUUUUGACGUUACCGACAGAAUAAGCACCGGCUAACUCUGUGCCAGCAGCCGCGGUAAUACAGAGGGUGCAAGCGUUAAUCGGAAUUACUGGGCGUAAAGCGCGCGUAGGUGGUUUGUUAAGUUGGAUGUGAAAUCCCCGGGCUCAACCUGGGAACUGCAUUCAAAACUGACAAGCUAGAGUACAGUUAGGGUAAACGGAAUUCCACGUGUAGCGGUGAAAUGCGUAGAUAUAGGAAGGAACACCAGUGGCGAAGGCGACCACCUGGACUGAUACUGACACUGAGGUGCGAAAGCGUGGGGAGCAAACAGGAUUAGAUACCCACGUAGUCCCUGAGCGGGCUGGCAAGGCGCAU
rnacentral:rRNA from 1 species